CGCCACGCCUGACUGGUUUUCGUUUUUUUUUGGUGGAGACGGGGUUUCGCUGUGUUGGCCGGGCUGGUCUCCAGCUCCUAGCCGCGAGUGAUCCGCCGGCCUCGGCCUCCCGAGGUGCCGGGAUUGCGGAUGGAGUCUCGUUCACUCAGUGCUCAAUGGUGCCCAGGCUGGAGUGCAGUGGCGUGAUCUUGGCUCGCUGCAACCACCUCCCAGCCACCUGCCUUGGCCUCCCGGAGAGCCGAGAUUGCAGCCUCUGCCCGGCCGCCACCCCGUCUGGGAAGUGAGGAGCGUCUCUGCUUGGCCACCCAUCGUCUGGGAUGUGAGGAGCCCCUCUGCCUGGCUGCCCAGUCUGGAAAGUGAGGAGCGUCUCUGCCCGGCCGCCAUCCCAUCUGGGAAGCGAGGAGCGCCUCUUCCCCGCCGCCAUCCCAUCUAGGAAGUGAGGAGCGUCUCUGCCCGGCCGCCCAUCGUUUGAGAUGUGGGGAGCACCUCUGCCCCGCCGCCCUGUCUGGGAUGUGAGGAGCGCCUCUGCUGGGCCGCAGCCCUGUCUGGGAGGUGGGGAGCGUCUCUGCCCGGCCGCUCCGUCUGAGAAGUGAGGAAACCCUCUGCCUGGCAACCGCCCCGUCUGAGAAGUGAGGAGCCCCUCCGUCCGGCAACCACCCCGUCUGGGAAGUGAGGAGCGUCUCCGCCCAGCAGCCACCCCGUCCGGGAGGGAGGUGGGGGGGGUCAGCCCCCCGCCCGGCCAGCCGCCCCGUCCGGGAGGUGAGGGGCUCCUCUGCCCGGCCGCCCCUACUGGGAAGUGAGGAGCCCCUCUGCCUGGCCAGGCGCCCCAUCCGGGAGGGAGGCGGCGGGGGGGUCGGCCAGCCGCCCCGUCCGGGAGGGAGGUGGGGGGGUCAGCCCCCCGCCCGGCCAGCCGCCCCGUCCGGGAGGUGAGGGGCUCCUCUGCCCGGCCGCCCCUACUGGGAAGUGAGGAGCCCCUCUGCCCGGCCAGACGCCCCGUCCAGGAGGGAGGUGGGGGGGUCAGCCCCCCGCCCGGCCAGCCGCCCAGUCCGGGAGGGAGGUGGGGGGUCAGCCCCCCGCCCGGCCAGCCGCCCCGUCUGGGAGGGAGGUGGGGGGAUCAGCCCCCCGCCUGGCCAGCCGCCCCAUCCGGGAGGUGAGGGGCGCCUCUGCCCGGCCGCCCCUACUGGGAAGUGAGGAGCCCCUCUGCCCGGCCAGCCGCCCCGCCCGGGAGGGAGGUGGGGGGGUCAUCCCCCCACCUGGCCAGCCGCCCCAUCUGGGAGGGAGGUGGGGGGGUCAGCCCCCCGCCCGGCCAGCCGCCCCGUCCGGGAGGGAGGUGGGGGGGGUCAGCCCCCCGCCUGGCCAGCCGCCCCGUCCGGGAGGGAGGUGGGGGGAUCAGCCCCCCGCCCGGCCAGCCGCCCCGUCCGGGAGGUGAGGGGCGCCUCUGCCCGGCCGCCCCUACUGGGAAGUGAGGACCCCUCUGCCCGGCCAGCCGCCCCGUCCGGGAGGGAGGUGGGGGGGACAGCCCCCCGCCCAGCCAGCCGCCCUAUCCAGGAGGUGAGGGGCGCCUCUGCCCGGCCGUCCCUACUGGGAAGUGAGGAGCCCCUCUGCCUGGCCAGCCGCCCCGUCCGGGAGGGUGGUGGGGGGGUCAGCUCCCCGCCCGGCCAGCCGCCCCAUCCGGGAGGUGAGGGGCGCUUCUGCCCGGCCGCCCCUACUGGGAAGUGAGGAGCCCCUCUGCCCGGCCACGACCCCGUCUGGGAGGUGUGCCCAGCGGCUCAUUGGGGAUGGGCCAUGAUGACAAUGGCGGUUUUGUGGAAUAGAAAGGCGGGAAGGGUGGGGAAAAAAUUGAGAAAUCGGAUGGUUGCCGGGUCUCUGUGGAUAGAAGUAGACAUGGGAGACUUUUCAUUUUGUUCUGUACUAAGAAAAAUUCUUCUGCCUUGGGAUCCUGUUGAUCUGUGACCUUAUCCCCAACCCUGUGCUCUCUGAAACAUGUGCUGUGAACACUCAGGGUUAAAUGGAUUAAGGGCGGUGCAAGAUGUGCUUUGUUAAACAGAUGCUUGAAGGCAGCAUGCUCGUUAAGAGUCAUCACCACUCCCUAAUCUUAAGUACCCAGGGACACAAACACUGCGGAAGGCCAAGGCCGCAGGGUCCUCUGCCUAGGAAAACCAGAGACCUUUGUUCACUUGUUUAUCUGCUGACCUUCCCUCCACUAUUGUCCUAUGACCCUGCCAAAUCCCCCUCUGCGAGAAACACCCAAGAAUGAUCAAUAAAAAAAA
rnacentral:lncRNA from 1 species